AGAGUUUGAUCCUGGCUCAGGAUGAACGCUAGCUACAGGCUUAACACAUGCAAGUCGAGGGGAAACGACAUCGAAAGCUUGCUUUUGAUGGGCGUCGACCGGCGCACGGGUGAGUAACGCGUAUCCAACCUGCCCACCACUUGGGGAUAACCUUGCGAAAGUAAGACUAAUACCCAAUGAUAUCUCUAGAAGACAUCUGAAGGAGAUUAAAGAUUUAUCGGUGAUGGAUGGGGAUGCGUCUGAUUAGCUUGUUGGCGGGGUAACGGCCCACCAAGGCGACGAUCAGUAGGGGUUCUGAGAGGAAGGUCCCCCACAUUGGAACUGAGACACGGUCCAAACUCCUACGGGAGGCAGCAGUGAGGAAUAUUGGUCAAUGGGCGAGAGCCUGAACCAGCCAAGUAGCGUGCAGGAUGACGGCCCUAUGGGUUGUAAACUGCUUUUAUAAGGGAAUAAAGUGAGUCUCGUGAGACUUUUUGCAUGUACCUUAUGAAUAAGGACCGGCUAAUUCCGUGCCAGCAGCCGCGGUAAUACGGAAGGUCCGGGCGUUAUCCGGAUUUAUUGGGUUUAAAGGGAGCGUAGGCCGGAGAUUAAGCGUGUUGUGAAAUGUAGAGGCUCAACCUCUGCACUGCAGCGCGAACUGGUCUUCUUGAGUACGCACAACGUGGGCGGAAUUCGUGGUGUAGCGGUGAAAUGCUUAGAUAUGACGAAGAACCCCGAUUGCGAAGGCAGCUCGCGGGAGCGCAACUGACGCUGAAGCUCGA
rnacentral:rRNA from 1 species